AACGAACGCUGGCGGCAUGCCUAACACAUGCAAGUCGAACGAUACCUUCGGGGAUAGUGGCGCACGGGUGCGUAACGCGUGGGAACCUGCCCGUAGGUUCGGAAUAACUCAGAGAAAUUUGAGCUCAUGACACAUAAUGUCUUCGGACCAAAGAUUUAUCGCCAUUGGAUGGGCCCGCGUUGGAUUAGCUAGUUGGUGGGGUAAAGGCCUGCCAAGGCCACGAUGCAGAGCUGGUCGGAGAGGAUGAUCAGCCACACUGGGACUGAGACACGGCCUAGACUGCUACGGGAGGCAGCAGUGGAGAAUACUGGAGAAUGGGCGAAAGCCUGAUCCAGCAACGCGGCGUGAGUGAUGAAGGCCUUAGGGUUGUAAAGCUCUCUGACACGGGGUGAUAAUGACAGUACCGGGAGAAUAAGCCCCGGCUAACUCCGUG
rnacentral:rRNA from 1 species